AACGUAGGAGACAAACGUUAUCCGGAGUUACUGGGCGUAAAGGGCGUGUAGGCGGACUGUUAAGUCUGGCGUGAAAGCUCCCGGCUAAACCGGGAGAGGUCGUUGGAUACUGGCAGACUAGAGGGUGGUAGAGGCGUGUGGAAUUCCGGGUGUAGUGGUGAAAUGCGUAGAGAUCCGGAGGAACACCAGUGGCGAAGGCGACUACCUGGCCUGUUCUUGACGCUGAGGCGCGAAAGCUAGGGGAGCAAACGGG
rnacentral:rRNA from 1 species